rnacentral:rRNA from 1 species
ACGGAGGAGGCAAGCGUUAUCCGGAAUUAUUGGGCGUAAAGCGUCCGUAGGUGGGUUAUCAAGUCAGUUGUUAAAGCAUGGGGCUUAACUCCAUCAAGGCGACUGAAACUGAUAGUCUAGAGUGCGGUAGGGGCAAGAGGAAUUCCCAGUGUAGCGGUGAAAUGCGUAGAUAUUGGGAAGAACACCGGUGGCGAAAGCGUCUUGCUGGACCUGCACUGACACUGAGGGACGAAAGCUAGGGGAGCGAAAG